GUUUAGAACGUCGUGAGACAGUUCGGUCCCUAUCUGCCGUGGGCGUUAGAAAUUUGAGAGGAGCUGCUCCUAGUACGAGAGGACCGGAGUGGACGUAUCUCUGGUGUUCCGGUUGUCACACCAGUGGCACAGCCGGGUAGCUAUAUACGGACAGGAUAACCGCUGAAAGCAUCUAAGCGGGAAACCUUCCUCAAGAUUAGAUUUCUCGUGAGAUUUAUCUCACCUAAAGAUCCGUUGAAGACUACAACGUUAAUAGGCUGGGUGUGGAAGUGCAGUAAUGCAUGUAGCUAACCAGUACUAAUUGAUCGUGCGAUUUGACGAU
rnacentral:rRNA from 1 species